GAUGAACGCUGGCGGUAUGCCUAACACAUGCAAGUCGAACGGCAAGGCCCUGCUAGCGUGGGGUGCCCGAGUGCGGAUCGGGUGCGUAAGAGGUGAACAUCGUGCUCUAGUUUUUGGGAUGACUUCACGUAGCUGGGGUUACUCUCGGACAGCAGCCGCUGUUCGGUGGUGGGCGUUGGAUCGUUUCGCCUGGCGCGGUUGGAUUAGCGGAUGACCAGCUUGCUGGUGGGGUAGUGGCUUACCCAGGCUUUGACGGGUAGCCGGCCUGUGAGGGUGGCCGGCCACAUUGGGACUGAGAUACGGCCCAGACUCCUACAGGAGGCAGCAGUGGGGAAUAUUGCACAAUGGGCGGAAGCCUGAUGCAGCAACGCCGCGUGCGGGAUGACGGCCUUCGGGUUAUAAACCGCUUUCGCCUAUGACGAAGCGGGAGUGACGGUAAUGGAUAAAGAAGCACCGGCUAACUACGUG
rnacentral:rRNA from 1 species